UUUUAAAAGACAAAAUAAGAGAAAACUUCAGGAACAGCCAAAGCCUUUUGCAAAAGUAACUCCCUUGUGAAAUGAUGGAAAAAUUUGGAACCAAGGUUUCCCUAGGGCUGGAAGUGUUACUGGCCUCAAGGACUGAACCAAUAUCGCUACUCCAGAGAGUGUGGGUUCCAAGCUCAGUGCCUGCCAAGGCCAGGAUUCCUCCUCCCCAAGUUUGAAGAGAAACCAGAUAAAAAGUAAACCUGCUUGGGAGCAGAGGUGCAGUGGAAAGUACAUGUGGCUGCGACAAAGGGAAUUCUGGCCCAUUUCUGGACCCAGAACACCAGCCUGUUCCAAGGCCCUUCUGUUGGAAAGCUUAUGCCUCCAAGGUCUGGAAUACUUGAGUUUCUCCGGAAAGAAUGAGCAGAAACAGAUCAGCAGCACCCUUUGGAAUGAAAAUCUCUCUGGGUCAGAGCAUGCGGCAUUCUACAAGAACACCUAUUAA
rnacentral:lncRNA from 1 species